rnacentral:rRNA from 1 species
UACGGGGGGGGCAAGCGUUGUUCGGAAUUACUGGGCGUAAAGGGCGUGUAGGCGGCAAGGAAAGUCAGACGUGAAAUCUCGGGGCUUAACCUCGAAACUGCGUUUGAUACUUCCAUGCUCUGAGUGCGGAAGAGGCAACCGGAAUUCCUGGUGUAGCGGUGAAAUGCGUAGAUAUCAGGAGGAACUCCAGUGGCGAAGGCGGGUUGCUGGGCCGACACUGACGCUGUGGCGCGAAAGCUAGGGGAGCAAACGGG